GCCUCGCUCAAUGAUGACCAAGAAUCUAUAACGUACCCGCUUCUAAUUGUCUACGACGUUUCUACCUCGUUACUCGCUCUCCGAUCCAUAUUCCUGUUUUUCUCCUUUAAUUUCUCCAUUUCUCUGAUCUCCCAACUGAUCUAUUUCUCAUGAUCUGAUCAGCUUCAUUGCUUCUCUCCCAUUCUCACAGGGUCACGAUCAAUUAGCUCCUGCGAUAUAUUUUAAUGGCGUCGCAGGAUAAGGGUCGGCCUCUACCUAAGUUUGGGGAAUGGGAUGUGAACAAUCCGGCGUCGGCAGAAGGGUUUACGGUCAUAUUCAGCAAAGCCAGAGAUGAGAAGAAAUCUUAUAAUAACGGUACUAAGACUGGGAGUGCAGCAGCAGCAGCCAGUGCUACUCAUCCAAGCAGUAAUCAUGAUCAAACG